rnacentral:tRNA from 1 species
GCCUGGGUGGCACAGCGGUUGAGCGGCUGCCUUUGGCUCAGGCCCGGCGUUGUGGGAUCGAGCCCCACUUCAGGCU